AACGCACCUUGCGCUCCUUGGUAUUCCGAGGAGCAUGCCUGUUUGAGUGUCUUGAAAUCAUCAACCCUGCCCUCUUUGCGGUCGGCGGGUUGGAGCCUGGGGGUUUUCCGUGCUGCCGAUAAGGCGGCUCCCCUCAAAUGCGUCGGUCAGGACUGCGGGUCAAACUCGGACCGGGCGUUGUACCAUCCUCGCUCUGCCGGAGACCGCGCCGCGACCUAGGCCCGCCUCUGGAGUGGCCGGCCAGCAUAUUCUGAAAUCUGACCUCAAAUCAGGUAGGACUACCCGCUGAACUUAA
rnacentral:misc_RNA from 1 species